AUCGUCAUCGUCAUCAUCCAUCGUCGUAGUAGUCAUAGUCGUAAUACUCGUAGUACCUCGUAGUAGUCGUCGAACUUCGUGUGUCAGUGUUAUUAAUAUUACGGAAAAAAAGAGAGAGAGAGAGAGAAAAGAAAAAAAAAAAAAGGGAAAAGGAAGAAAAAUGAAGAAGGAAAAAAAAAAAUAUGCGGCGAAGAUCCGCCGAUUAUAAUUAUUUUCAAUAUCGUGGCAAUUCGACACGUCGAGUUUAAUUGGCGCAAUUAAACGCGGCCAAGACCUAUUAUCGGCGUCUUUAAAGUCUGAUCUACGUGAGAAAAAGCGUUCACAUGUUAUAGGCUACAUAAAUUGGGUCAAGUUGAUCGGCAAGAAAUCCAUCGCGCAAAUGCAUCCGUUGUUUCUCACCUCUCGAGUUGAUUGGAACUACACCAGGAUCAACUACUACAACGACGCCUACUACCAAAUGAUGUUCUUCCAAAACAGCACUAGUAACUAGUGCCACUAAAUCGAGAGCUUCACUUUCACUUCCAUCGAGCUCGACCACUACUACUAACAGAUUAGUCCACGUAAACACGGCGCUGUGAAAACAAAUUAACAUUUAUUUAUUUGUUUGUUUGUUUAUACGAGCUUCUUAGUGAUAAUAAUAAUGGAACGUACGAGGUAGAAAAAUAUAUAUAAAAAAAAAAAAAAAAAAAAA